rnacentral:rRNA from 1 species
GUGCCAGCAGCCGCGGUAAUACGUAGGGUGCAAGCGUUGUCCGGAAUUACUGGGCGUAAAGAGUUCGUAGGCGGUUUGUCGCGUCGUUUGUGAAAGCCAGCAGCUCAACUGCUGGCUUGCAGGCGAUACGGGCAGACUUGAGUACUGCAGGGGAGACUGGAAUUCCUGGUGUAGCGGUGAAAUGCGCAGAUAUCAGGAGGAACACCGGUGGCGAAGGCGGGUCUCUGGGCAGUAACUGACGCUGAGGAACGAAAGCGUGGGUAGCGAACAGGAUUAGAUACCCUGGUAGUCCACGCCGUAAACGGUGGGCGCUAGGUGUGGGUUCCUUCCACGGAAUCCGUGCCGUAGCUAACGCAUUAAGCGCCCCGCCUGGGGAGUACAGCCGCAAGGCUAAAACUCAAAGGAAUUGACGGGGGCCCACACAAGCGGCGGAGCAUGUGGAUUAAUUCGAUGCAACGCGAAGAACCUUACCUGGGUUUGACAUAUACCGGAAAGCUGCAGAGAUGUGGCCCCCCUUGUGGUCGGUAUACAGGUGGUGCAUGGCUGUCGUCAGCUCGUGUCGUGAGAUGUUGGGUUAAGUCCCGCAACGAGCGCAACCCCUAUCUUAUGUUGCCAGCACGUUAUGGUGGGGACUCGUAAGAGACUGCCGGGGUCAACUCGGAGGAAGGUGGGGACGACGUCAAGUCAUCAUGCCCCUUAUGUCCAGGGCUUCACACAUGCUACAAUGGCCAGUACAGAGGGCUGCGAGACCGUGAGGUGGAGCGAAUCCCUUAAAGCUGGUCUCAGUUCGGAUCGGGGUCUGCAACUCGACCCCGUGAAGUCGGAGUCGCUAGUAAUCGCAGAUCAGCAACGCUGCGGUGAAUACGUUCCCGGGCCUUGUACACACCGCCCG